GAUGAACGCUAGCGGCAGGCCUAAUACAUGCAAGUCGAACGGUGUAGCAAUACACAGUGGCGCACGGGUGCGUAACACGUAUGCAACCUACCUUACAUUGGGGGAUAGCCUUUCGAAAGGGAGAUUAAUACCGCAUAAGACAGUAACUAGGCAUCUAGUAGCUGUUAAAGAUUUAUCGAUGUAAGCUGGGCAUGCGUCCUAUUAGUUAGUUGGCGAGGUAAUGGCUCACCAAGACGAUGAUUGGUAGGGGAACGGAGAGGUCAAUCCCCCACACUGGCACUGAGAUACGGGCCAGACUCCUACGGGAGGCAGCAGUAGGGAAUAUUGGGCAAUGGGCGCAAGCCUGACCCAGCCAUGCCGCGUGCAGGAAGAAGGCGUUAUGCGUUGUAAACUGCUUUUAUACAGGAAGAAACGACCCUUGCGAGGGGCAUUGACGGUACUGUAUGAAUAAGCACCGGCUAACUCCGUGCCAGCAGCCGCCGUAAGAC
rnacentral:rRNA from 1 species